CAGCCGCCGCGGUAAUACGUAGGGUGCGAGCGUUAAUCGGAUUUACUGGGCGUAAAGCGUGCGCAGGCGGCCCGUUAAGACAGGUGUGAAAUCCCUGGGCUCAACCUAGGAAUUGCGCUUGUGACUGGCGGGCUCGAGUACGGUAGAGGGGGGUGGAAUUCCUGGUGUAGCAGUGAAAUGCGUAGAGAUCAGGAGGAACACCGAUGGCGAAGGCAGCCCCCUGGGCCUGUACUGACGCUCAUGCACGAAAGCGUGGGGAGAAAACAGGAUUAGAUACCCUGGUAGUCCACGCCCUAAACGAUGGGUACUAGCCGUUUGGUGCGCGAUAGCGCUGAGUGGCGAAGCUAACGCGUGAAGUACCCCGCCUGGGGAGUACGGCCGCAAGGUUGAAACUUAAAGGAAUUGGCGGG
rnacentral:rRNA from 1 species